rnacentral:lncRNA from 1 species
AGGCUGACUCCGGAGCUAGAGAGGAGCACAUUCGAGCGAGAAGCUACGUGGGUGCAAACAACACUCCAGUUUCUGCCCGGGAGGAGCCGGAUCUAACAACUAGGAGUUCAAGCCCCUACCUACCGACCGACCUGUGGUCUCUGAAGUUGGACAAUGCUCCCCAACAGGUGCAAACAGAAUACCUGUUUGACCGGGCUUUGUCUCUAGGAAACUACAUACGAGGUGAUGGAAAUGCUAUUAAGAGUGAUGUGAAUUAACACAGAGACCUACAAUUGAUUUUUUUUUCAGGGUGGAACAAAAAGGUUCUAGGAGCUGGAACAUCUGUCACCUUCAUAGACCGUGCCAAAGCUUCUCAUAAAUGGAGUCUUGCCUUUGAUCUCAUUUUCCUCUGUAAGAAUUAAAGUGAUGUGUGGCCCUUGAGGCUGAAGGCGGGGCAAGCCGAUGGCAAUGGCUUUCUCCAGCACUGUCUUUUCUAUGAGAGUCACUGUGAGGAUCCAGACAAGGCACAGAAGAGAGUUUUGGGAAUCGCCAGAGCUCUGCAAAGAAUUGAGAGGUGUCAGCACUGACCUUGUGAUCUCCACCAAUCAACUGUUCUAAAGUUCAGUUUUAGCAAAAAAACUAGACAGGACUCAAGGUUUGCAGCAGUAUGGAGGCUGGCAGGAUUGCCCAAGCAGAAGGCUGAGGCCACAAGAGGAACAAUCUGUUGGAGCAAGGCUUUGGAGCACUUGUUCGUGAAGGGUGUAAUAAUAAGUGCCGUGGUGUGGGAACUUAAACAAAUAAGAAUCUCCUUCCUCAAAGUUUGAGAGGCCCAAGAUUCAAGAUGGACAUGUCCACAGGAUGGGCGUCCUUCACUCCUGGUUUGCAAACAGUCACCCCCUGUCUGUGUCUACAUAAGCUCUUACCAUGUGUGUUUCUUCCUGGUGCCUCUCAGAGUCGAUGUUGCUUUUUUUCAUAAGAGUACCAAUUAAGGAUGACUUAGGGACCCUAAAUAGACCCAUUUUAACUACAUUAUCUUUUCACUGUUAUUUUCUUGGUUUCCUAAGGAUCAGACAAGGGGCCUUACGUAUGAUAGGUGAGUGCUCUACCAGUGAGCUACACACCCAGCACCCUUAAUAACAGCUUUAAAGAGCAGCCCUCCAAUGCAAAUACCUUCUUAAGUACUAGCAAUUGGGGCUCUAAUAUGAAUUUAGAAACAUGCAUUUAGAAGAAAGGGGCACAAAACAGCCCUUAUUCAAGGACACUUGAGCACUUGGUGGCUUCAUGGCACCUCUCUAUACACUCUCAGUGCCACCUCUAGACCCCACUUAACAUGAGGAAGAUGCCUCCCUUGCAUUAAGCUUUGUGUCCAGGCACUUCUCAUCCAUGCAGGUAGCCGCAUUCCCUAACUGAUACGUAGCAUCUCACUUCAGCUGUUCUUGUUCACCUCUUUUGAAUCUUGUAUGGAGUGGAGUUCCCUCUUCAAUUAAAAGAAAUUAUUC